rnacentral:rRNA from 1 species
GCUGGCGGCGUGCCUACACAUGCAAGUCGAACGAGGUAGCAAUACCUAGUGGCAGACGGGUGAGUAACACGUGGUCAACCUGCCUUUGUGUGGGGGAUAACUAGCCGAAAGGUUAGCUAAUACCGCAUACGAUCGCUCUGGGGCAUCCCUAGGCGAUGAAAGGAGCAAUCCGCACAAAGAGGGGACUGCGUCCCAUUAGUUAGUUGGUGGGGUAAUGGCCUACCAAGACUCCGAUGGGUAGCUGGCUUGAGAGAGCGACCAGCCACACUGGAACUGAGACACGGUCCAGACUCCUACGGGAGGCAGCAGUGAGGAAUUUUCCGCAAUGGGCGAAAGCCUGACGGAGCGACGCCGCGUGUGGGAAGAAGGCCUUCGGGUCGUAAACCACUGUCGAAGGGGACGAUAUUGACGGUACCCUUGGAGGAAGCCCCGGCUAACUACGUGC